GUGCUCGCUUCAGCAGCACAUAUAUUAAAAUUGGAAUGAUACACAGAAGAUUAGCAUGGCCCCUGCACAAGAAUGACAGGCAAAUUCAUGAAGCAUUUCAUAAUUUA
ensembl:snRNA U6 U6 spliceosomal RNA